AUGAAAUAUGAAGUUUUAUUAAAAGAAAAAGGGGUGAAAAGAACAAAGUUUUGUCCAUCUUUGUUCAUCAUAGCUGAAAGUUAGAGAAAAGAAAGGAGAGGAGAAAGCUCUUGAGUAUUCGGUCAUUAGGAGGAGGAAAAUUGAAGGAAAUCCCCAACCAUAAUGGGCUUGGAGCUGUGAGGGAAUUCGAAGUGGCCACCUGUUCUGAAAGUUUGAUUUUCUUCUGGUGAACUGGACAUCCUUUUGUUUACGUUUGAAGUUUUGAGUUUUUAAAUGUAAUAAGGCCACUUAAUUAUUUUUAAUGGUUUUAAUAUGUAUUACUAAGAUAGGUAUUACUUA